GUGUCAGCAGCCGCGGUAAUACGUAGGGUGCAAGCGUUAAUCGGAAUUACUGGGCGUAAAGCGUACGCAGGCGGCUUUGCAAGACAGGUGUGAAAUCCCCGGGCCUAACCUGGGAACUGCAUUUGUGACUGCAUAGCUAGAGUCUGUCAGAGGGGGGUGGAAUUCCACGUGUAGCAGUGAAAUGCGUAGAGAUGUGGAAGAACACCGAUGGCGAAGGCAGCCCCCUGGGAUGAGACUGACGCUCAUGUACGAAAGCGUGGGGAGCAAACAGGAUUAGAUACCCUGGUAGUCC
rnacentral:rRNA from 1 species